UCUCAAUUGAUGGGUCAAAAUAUUGAAGGUCUGGAGGGAAAGGACUCAAAUCAUGGUGAAACAAUUAUUUAUGCAGAUGAGUGGGUAUUCCUUGUUCCAGACCUUAUAUGUGAUACUGCCAAUGGAGUUUUGUGGAAGAUCCAUUUAGAUCUGGAGGCCAUUUCUUCUAGCAGCUCAGAAGUGCAAACAGUCCUCGAAUUUUUGCAGAGGAGGAAAUUAGAAGCAAAUAAGGCUAAACAGUUGUGUUUGGCAAUGACUCGGACAAUUAUUCUCGAACGACGACCUGUGCCCAUGGUUGCAAGGGUGAUAGAUGUCCUAGUCAACUGUUUCUCUCUUUCAAUAAAAACGGGAAAACAUCAUAUGGGAUCAAAAGUGAAGAGAAGUUCAACAACCAGUGGUUCUAAUGUUAAUAGUGCUAUUGAUGAAUCCAUCAGUCAAGCAGAUACCUCUGAGAAGUCACCAAAACAAGAAAGUGGUAGUGGCACGCAUGACAAGUCUAUUGUGAAAUCCUCUUCCGUUACUUCUGAGUCUGAAGACAAUGUUAGUUCUGCACAAAAUAGAGGCAAAUCUAUAAAUGUCGAUUUAUCUAGUAGUGAACAAAAUGGAGGUAACUUGGUUGGGACAGAUGUAUCAGGUGAUGAAGCUCAGCCUUCUGUUGUACGACCUCAAGCUCCUGGAUCAGGUAGCACUUCCCUAAGGACUGAUGAACAGCAGGAGUCUCUCGUAACUUCUGCUGCAAUAUCUCCAGAUGAUCUGUGCAGCUUUGUGUUUGUUCCUGUAGAGGAGGAAAUGGCUGGGGAUUCUUCUUACUUAGUUGCAAUCGUUGUUGAGUUCCUACGCAGUGCUAACCUGGAAAGGUUGAAAGUGCCUCUGAAUAUUUAUGUAUUGAUGAUACAACUGCUAGCACGGAACGAAAAUUAUGCAGAACUUGGAUUGUUCAUCAUGAAUAAGAUAAUUGAGCCCUCAAAAGAAGUUGCAAUGCAAUUACUAGCAUCAGGCAGGCAUAAUUUUCAAACAAGGAGGUUGGGCCUAGAUAUGCUCAGAGAACUUGCAUUGCAUCAUGACUAUGUCCUGCUACUUGUUCAAGAUGGAUAUUAUCUUGAAGCUUUACGUUAUGCCAGGAAAACUAAGGUGAAUACUGUUCAGCCUUCAUUGUUUCUUGAGGCAGCUUAUGCUUCUAAUGACUCGCAACACCUGGCUGCUGUUCUAAGAUUUUUCUCAGACUUCAUUCCUAGGUUCAAGAGCACUACUGAUCACCAAACUUUUAGUCGUUAUCUUGCCGAGAUGAGUACAAUGAUUACUGCUUCAGGCACCAAAUCUUGACAUAAAUGAAGAAGUUGGAUCACUCUGUUCCCCCUUGAAGAUCAAUGAUUCAGUUUAUUGUUGAAUGUCAAAGUUCUGAAAAAUGGCUGUGGGGCUUCAUGCAAGCACAGUAAGAACCAGAUACCGCUGUAACAUGUAAAAACAGUCAUUAAUAAGCUUUAGCUUUUUGGAUGAGACUUUUAACGCGUAUUACAGAAAUAAGUUUUUGAAAUGCUGAGGACUAGUAAGAUAGAUGUAAUUAUCAUACUCCAUUUUCCUGGUGAUCAUAUUCCUUUUUAAAUUAUUUUUUUUGGGAGGUGGACCAA
rnacentral:misc_RNA from 1 species